UACGUAGGUGGCAAGCGUUGUCCGGAUUUAUUGGGUUUAAAGGGCGCGUAGGUGGCCUUAUAAGUCAGUGGUGAAAUCUCUGGGCUUAACCCAGAAAUUGCCAUUGAUACUGCAGGGCUUGAGUAUAGUUGCCGUUGGCGGAAUAUGACAUGUAGUGGUGAAAUGCUUAGAUAUGACAUAGAACACCAAUUGCGAAGGCAGCUUACUACAUAGUUAUUGACACUGAGGCACGAAAGCGUGGGGAUCAAACAGG
rnacentral:rRNA from 1 species